GAUGAACGCUGGCGGCGUGCCUAAUACAUGCAAGUCGAGCGAACGGACUAUUAUCUUUCUUUUCUGAUUUUUGCGGCGGACGUGUGAGUAACACGUGUAUAACCUACCUAUAAUACUGGUAUAACUUCGUGAAACCGGAGCUAAUACCGGAUAAUAUUUUUAACCUCAUGGUUCAUUAGUGAAAUACGGUCUUGCUUUCUCUUAUAGAUGUAUCCUCGCUUCAUUAGCUAGUUGGUAAGGUAACGGCUUACCAAGGCAACGAUGCAUAGCCGAACUGAGAGGGGGAUCGGCGACACUGGAAGUGAGACAAGGAACAGACUCCUACGGGAGGCAGCAGAAGGGAAUAGGACGAAAUGGGCGAAAGCAUGACGGAGGAAAGCGGAGUGAGAGAUGAAGGUCUUAGGAGCGGAAAAAAAUGUUAGGAGGGAAGAAAAAAAGUGGAAGAAAAUGUGAAGAGAGUGACGGUAACAAAUAAGAAAGCAACGGCUAACUACGUG
rnacentral:rRNA from 1 species